GGACUACAUUACUCACCUUUUUUCUUGUCUUUCUCCUUCUUAUCGCCAGCAUCUUUUUCGCCGCUGUAAAAAAAAAAGAAGUGCGAAGAAAAUACUUCUUGCGAGACGCUGGAGGCACUAAUAUACGGAUCCCAAUUAUGGCACAAUACACCACGACCGGUUCCAGCGUACUCACGGCUGCUACGUCUCAGCAGAGUUAGCUUCGGUUCGACUAUGGAAAGACUAUCGUGGCCAAUAAUGUUCAAGAAAUAAUUUUGUUGGACUUAAACUCGUUUUCUUACAGUCUCUCAUUUUGUUUCGCAAGCACAUAAAAUUUCAGAAGAGUGAAUACAGUUUACUACAAAGUGAUUAUGAGUUAAUAAUAUUAAUAUGAUCAUCGUGUUGGUAUUCAACAAAAUGGAUGAAAAACACGCGUAGGCGUUCAGGGUAUAAUCCGCUAAACAGGCCACGACGAAUCCGUUCAGAGAGUGAUACCUUCACCAUCAACGGGAACCGUAAUUGCUUUAUAGCACACUGGCCAUAAUUAACGUGGACACACCUUUUGCACGGCUGAUGGGAAGACCGAGGAAGCGGAAAAAUGCACUGGAAUUGCAGCAAAUCGCAUUAGACAUCAGCGUGUUACCGCAGAAUGACUCUAUAGCCUCUUAAUAGAUGCGACAUCAGUUAUUUAACUGUCACUGGAUUACAAUGUGUUCUAUUUAUAAAGAAGGAGUUCUAAUGCAUACGCCGGUGUAUUUCGUCGCCCUUCUUUCGUCGCACGCUUAUGAUAUAUUCUGUCUACGCAAGUGACGGCGACGAACGUUCUAUUAUAGGGACGCAACGACGACCUUGUAUGUUAACUCGUGCAUAUAUUCGCACAUGCAACAGCCUCGCGUGCGGGACAUAUUUGUGAUUUUUCCGCAUGAGCAAGAAUGGAUGCAAGAGAGCAUUUUUGAUUUUAACACGUCGAUCAAUGUGGGGAGAAACGGAGAGCGAAAGAGAGAGAGAGGUACAGAUCUUGUACUAUUGGCCCACAGCGUUACGUAACUACUUGUAGCGCUCAUUACAAGAGAUCAACGUGUAAACGCGCGUGUAUGCAGCGAAUGAAGAACCGUAAAUGCGGAAAAUACUCCACUAUACAUUCUAUACAAUAUCGAUAACUUGCAACUGGAGCGAUCAAUGUCACGUCAAUGUUCUGUGGCUUAUGAGUGUAGAAGGCCAAACAUCAUAUACUGGAAUAUACGGUUUGACGUCAUAUUAUUCACGGUGUCAAGAUUGCUCGAUUUAUUUUAAUAAUAAACCAGUUGGAGCAGAUAUUAAAUAAAUUAUUAAAACAUUGGUGUAGUUCACAAAUUAUGAAUUCAAAAUGGAGGCCUUCACUUUCGUUUUGAAAGUAUUGAAUUUGCAAUCUCAGAGAUUUUAUAUUUGAUUUCGUGAUUAAUAAUAAUAAAAGAGUUUUUCUCCGCUAAAUGUUAUGUCGAUAACAUUUAUAUAUAUCACAGAAAUUAUAUUAGCCAUGAAUGACACAGUUUCAAAGUUAUAAGUACAAUACGUUGAUAGAAGAUAAAUAUGGCUUCGAAAGUUUCUGCGGUCUCUUCAUAUUUCUCUUUCUAGUUUCGAGCCGCAGAAGGACACCGGUUAUUUUAGUUCUCUGCAAUAUACGGAGACGGAUGUAUAACGCAAGUGCAUUCACUGUACUCGAAGUAUCAUUCUCUUUUACGAUACAAAACGGUCGAGCUGGAUGCGUCCCAGUAAAGAUGUCUAAAAAAGUGGAGGCAAACUUUUGAAAAAUUUGACGCGAAAAAUAGGCCUACAGCAAUGCGGAGACUUUCAGCAACAAAAUUUCGGAUGUGAAAAAUAAAACUGUUUUUGACUGAGGAUUACCGAGCUUCCCGCGACACGAGAGAUGCAAGAGAUGUAUACAUGCACUAAACGAUCGAUCAAGAAUAGAGCAAAUCACAAAAGAAGCAUAAGAAAUCGGAAUGUUGCUUAGCUUGUCUUCAUCAGGCGUGAAGGAAGAAAACAGAUAAAACGGUUUUUUUUAUGAGCGAGUGCGAGAAAGCGCGACGAAGUCGAGCGCUCUGUCGAAAUCUCUCGUGCAACGACUGUGAGUUUCACAUGAUAUUGAUAGCCAUUCCUUUGUAAGCGUCUCGAGGAUACGCGGAAAUAUAAAGGUAAGAAAAUACUUCAAUCAGCAAAUUAUAACGCAAAUUAAAAUACGCGAGUUUUUGAGUACAUUUUAUAACAGAACAAUGCUGUUUUCGAUUAUGUAACUUACAUUUCUGUUAGUGUAACAAAAUAAUCAUUAUGUGAAAAUCUUACUGAUUAUGAAGAAAAUUUGCAACUGGAUUAUGUAUAAUAUUCAGGCACGUAUAUAAUAUUGCGCUGUUACUCGGCAAUAUUUUAUUUAUUCUAAAAAUAGAUGCCAUCAUUAACAAUAGGAAUAUUCAAUAUGCAUGAAUUAACGUGGCUUAUAUUGGGAAUAUUUACGACAUAACGCAAUGCACUAAUAAAAGUGUUGCAGAUUGCCGUGUACGUACGACGUAUGUACACGCUCGGGACUUUUAUGCUUGCAAAAAAUCCGGAUGCACAUUGGUACGCAUGCACGCACGCACGUACGCACGCACGCAUGCACGCACGCAUGCACGUGCUGUUAAUUAGAAUCGUAAGGAAAGGAACACUGCGCGGGAUUGCACGACUUGAAAAAUAAAUUGUUUCAAACAACAUGAAAAAUGCCAAAUAUUCGCCAAUGUCUAACGAAAAUAAAAUACAUCUGUGAAAUACAUUCGCAUUGCGAGAGAAACAGCUUCGUGCAUCAUAUAUUUAUUCAACGAAUUGUUAAUCAAUAAAGGUAAGUGUAAGUGGUAUGAGUAAAGAGGUGAAUAUCUAUAAUAGUUGUAUGUACAUGUAUAUAAUGCAAAUAAUUAAAUACAUGAUAAUUAGAUAUCGUGAUUUUAACAUAUUACUUACAUUACCGCAAUUAACAUUGUUUAUUAAUGUAUUGAUUAUAUAUAUAAAUGUAAUGCAAAUAAUGUGAUAUUUGCAAUUUCUAGUAAAUGAAUGUUACUUGCAUCCAUUUAUUAUUUAAUUCAAUGUUCACGUCAUCAAAGUUUGUUUCUCGAGAACACGUAAUUGCAAAUCUGUAACGGGUUCUCGACAAAUUAACAAACUUCUCGCGCCUCGCGUGCAUUACGUAGCGAUUAUCAGUUAUUUGGAGUUAGAGAGUUAAGUUGCAAUUAAGCGUUAAAUGUCGUAUCGAUUGAACGUACAGUAAAAUAAUUAUAAUUAUCCGAUUUCAGAUGGGAACGAAGAAGUGGCCCAGCUUUAGCUGAGAUCAUUGUCUAAAGAUAAUACGCAGAAGUGACAUUACAGAGCGCUUUAUUGCCUUAUUAAAACUUUCAGCCGUCACGGAAGCGUAAUAAUAAGAAGCAAUUACAAUGUUCGCAUUGCGAAUCAAUUGGCAUAAAUCUGCGCGAUGUCAUAAAUUCGACAUAAAAAAAGACGAUUUUAUAGUA
rnacentral:lncRNA from 13 species